rnacentral:rRNA from 1 species
CCUGGCUCAGGAUGAACGCUAACUACAGGCUUAACACAUGCAAGUCGAGGGGCAGCAUGGUCUUAGCUUGCUAAGACUGAUGGCGACCGGCGCACGGGUGAGUAACACGUAUCCAACCUGCCGUCUACUCUUGGACAGCCUUCUGAAAGGAAGAUUAAUACAAGAUGGCAUCAUGAGUCCGCAUGUUCACAUGAUUAAAGGUAUUCCGGUAGACGAUGGGGAUGCGUUCCAUUAGAUAGUAGGCGGGGUAACGGCCCACCUAGUCUUCGAUGGAUAGGGGUUCUGAGAGGAAGGUCCCCCACAUUGGAACUGAGACACGGUCCAAACUCCUACGGGAGGCAGCAGUGAGGAAUAUUGGUCAAUGGGCGAGAGCCUGAACCAGCCAAGUAGCGUGAAGGAUGACUGCCCUAUGGGUUGUAAACUUCUUUUAUAAAGGAAUAAAGUCGGGUAUGGAUACCCGUUUGCAUGUACUUUAUGAAUAAGGAUCGGCUAACUCCGUGCCAGCAGCCGCGGUAAUACGGAGGAUCCGAGCGCUAUCCGGAUUUAUUGGGUUUAAAGGGAGCGUAGAUGGAUGUUUAAGUCAGUUGUGAAAGUUUGCGGCUCAACCGUAAAAUUGCAGUUGAUACUGGAUAUCUUGAGUGCAGUUGAGGCAGGCGGAAUUCGUGGUGUAGCGGUGAAAUGCUUAGAUAUCACGAAGAACUCCGAUUGCGAAGGCAGCCUGCUAAGCUGCAACUGACAUUGAGGCUCGAAAGUGUGGGUAUCAAACAGGAUUAGAUACCCUGGUAGUCCACACGGUAAACGAUGAAUACUCGCUGUUUGCGAUAUACUGCAAGCGGCCAAGCGAAAGCGUUAAGUAUUCCACCUGGGGAGUACGCCGGCAACGGUGAAACUCAAAGGAAUUGACGGGGGCCCGCACAAGCGGAGGAACAUGUGGUUUAAUUCGAUGAUACGCGAGGAACCUUACCCGGGCUUAAAUUGCAGAUGAAUUACGGUGAAAGCCGUAAGCCGCAAGGCAUCUGUGAAGGUGCUGCAUGGUUGUCGUCAGCUCGUGCCGUGAGGUGUCGGCUUAAGUGCCAUAACGAGCGCAACCCUUGUUGUCAGUUACUAACAGGUUCCGCUGAGGACUCUGACAAGACUGCCAUCGUAAGAUGUGAGGAAGGUGGGGAUGACGUCAAAUCAGCACGGCCCUUACGUCCGGGGCUACACACGUGUUACAAUGGGGGGUACAGAGGGCCGCUACCACGCGAGUGGAUGCCAAUCCCCAAAACCUCUCUCAGUUCGGACUGGAGUCUGCAACCCGACUCCACGAAGCUGGAUUCGCUAGUAAUCGCGCAUCAGCCACGGCGCGGUGAAUACGUUCCCGGGCCUUGUACACACCGCCC